UACGGAGGGUGCAAGCGUUAUCCGGAUUCACUGGGGUUAAAGGGAGCGCAGGCGGACUUGUAAGUCAGUGGUGAAAUACCUGGGCUUAACUCGGGAACUGCCAUUGAUACUAUAGGUCUUGAAUGUUGUUGAGGUUUGCGGAAUGGGUCAUGUAGCGGUGAAAUGCAUAGAUAUGACCCGGAACACCUAUUGCGAAGGCAGCAGGCUAAACAAAUAUUGACGCUGAGGCUCGAAAGCGUGGGGAUCAAACAGG
rnacentral:rRNA from 1 species